rnacentral:lncRNA from 1 species
CUCUUUUAGAAAAAAGUUGUUUAAAAUAUGAUGUAACUCUCCUCUUUUUGAGUACAAAAUUCUAAGUUUUCAAAGGUUUUGUAUAGAAGAACUAUAGUACAAAUCCUUGGUAUUUCUAUUUUAUUUUCUACAUCAGUAAAAUGACCCCUUGUCUGAGGGAGGGUUGUUUCUCAACCUGAUAAUAACAAACACAGUCAAGUACGGCCUUUUACACAGGGCUUUGAUACAGACCAAACAGCAAGCUAUAAAGGACCCCAAAAUUAUUAGCGUACACAAUUCGAACAGGAAAACAAACGAUCUAAUUUAUAUCCAAACGGGAAAAUACCAAUGAACAACAUCAACAAACGAUUACUGCC